AGCCUUUAAGAUGGCUGUACUUAUGCUAACUUUUGAUUCUUCAGAUCUUACACUAAGAGUAGGGAUCUGAAGCUUUUAUUUUACUCCACAUUGCGCAGCACCAAUUUGACACAGUGCGGGGCUCACAGAGAAUAUCCAAUAGAUGCUUAUUAAACUAAAUGUCUUUGACUAUCUCAGAGAGUAGUUUACAGUCGGAGUUUACAUUAAUUGUUCAAGGUUAUGAGGCAGGGAAAUCGGCAGAGUUCCAUCUCACACCUCCAUUUCCAUCUACACCCCAGCCAGUGGGAAUCAUUUACCGUUUUUGCUUAUGUCUCUCAUUACUGAGCUUUGCAGUUGCUACCCCCCUGAGACUGGAAGACUGUUCCUUCUACUCUCCAUUUGAGAUAAUACUACCAGAUUAGACAGCAUCCCUGGAGACCCUUCCUUGAGCCUCCUGGAGAUGGGGUUGAUACCCUCCUUUGAGCUUCCCGCAGCCUCUGUGCAUCUGUCAAUUGAUCACCAUACUCUGUACUGUUAUUGUUUGUUUCUUUAUUCCUCACUCCUCACUAUAAUGUAAGCUCCUGGGGGUCUGUCGAUCUCCGUCGCUUACCUGAGGGCUUGGUGCAUCAUAGCAGCCCUUCCAAAAUCAUUGUCACAUUUUUUCCCCACUUCAUCUUGGUCACAUCAUGCUAUUAUUUGUCUCCUGUCUGAUUGUCUGGUUCAGUGGCUCACACUCCUGGUGGGCAGGACCCGAGCCACGGCUACACUGGAUCUUCUGGGCUGGGGUGAGGGAAUCCUUGGAAUAGGUCCACAUCCUCUGGCCACCAGCAGUUGUGUCAGUUUUCCACUUACUAGAGUCCCUUGUCCAGGGACCAGAUGAGUGCAUGGGGGGACAUGGCCUUCUCCAGCCCGUCUGACUUGUACUUUUGCCUCUGCCCUGUCUAGGAUUGGAGCCAACAGUGGUGACCCACAGUGGGAUGCCCAGUACCCUGGCUCUCCUGAGGUCAGCAUUGCUUGGGGCAGCUGUUCCUGCUAAUGCCAGGUGCCAUUGGAAGGGCUGCUUCCCCCUGCCCAUUUUCAUUUUUGCUUUUCUGUGUCUCCAGCACUCCCUCUUCCAGAGCCACCUAUUAACCCUAUUCAGCCUUUCCACAGCAUUUUCUGGAAGGCUGAUUUCCCUUAAAUUUACAUGAUGAAUUCCAAAAGAGGACCACUCCUGUUUAUCUGUAUUCCAUAGUCACUUCACUUCUUGGCCUCAGGCUUCUCUUCUGAGAAAUGGGAAGAAUGAUGCCUUCCUCAGAGAGGGAUGUGAGGUUGCAGGAAGGAGAGAGUACAGGGCCUGACAUAUUGUCAGUGCCUGGUGAAUGAUGAAUGAAUCUCCUUUCCUCUUGCAGGGAACCUAUGGCAAGGUUGCUCUCACAGGAAGCCCUAAAGGGGCUCCUCAGCUACAUGGGGGUUCAUCUGCUCAGCCAGAGCUGACAUGCCUGGAUCUGGCUCAGUCACAGGACAGGUUCAGGGCACAGGUAUGAGGAGGAGCAAGGGAGCCAGGACUGGCAGCCUGAGCUGGGGUAAAGCUUCUACUGCUCACUGUUACUAGUAUUAUUACAAUAGUUUUCAGCUUGAGGAUGUGAGUCAUCAAUGGGUUUGUGAAAUCAGUUUAGUGAGUUGUACUCAGCUUUCAAAAAACUAAGCAGAACUGAAAAUAUCAGAGUAUCUUGCAUGUUAUAAGCACUAUUUUGUAAAACAUUUGUUGGUGUUAUGCCUAUGUGUCUGUAUGUCCUAGACUGUGAUAUAGAAUGUAUUUCCUACCGUGGGUCAUGGUCAAAGGGCUUAAAAGCGAUUGCUGUAUUGAAGAGUUACACCUGACACUGUUCUAAGCAGCCUACAUUAAUUUAUUUAAUCCUACAACCCUAUGAGGUUGGUACUCUUACAGAUGGGGAAGCUGAGGCACAGAGAAGUUAAGUAGCUUUGCCAAGGUCAUCCAGAAAAUAGGAGAUGGAAGCUUAAAGGUGAUACACUGCCUCUGGCAAGGAUCUGAUUUGACUCUAGUCCGCUCUCUCUUCCCUGCUAAACCCCAGGGACUAGCCAGCCAAUCCAGGCCACCAGAGGGUGAUGUGGGACUCAAAUCCGGGGCAAGCACAGCUGGUGGCAGGGCGAGCAACAAUGGUGGUUCUCCGCAGCAGCUGUAAGCAGAGGUGCCCGGACGGUGGCAGUGCGGUUCUUGCAGUCUCCUCACAGAGGGCCAGCAGGCUGGGCACAGCCCAGGAACACCCGCGCCCUCAAGUUUGCAGGGCCUAUCAUAGGGGACAGGGCUGUGAGACAGAUGCAUCUCAGUGACAGCGUGUCCAAAGAUUUCAUGGCUGGAGGAGGCACCUUAAAAAAAACACAGAAAGAGGUGGUUGGCCGCAGUCUAAGCCGACAGUGAGUUUCUUUCCAAGUGGUGGUGUUCCUCGAUAUUCCUGCUCCUGGUCCUUGAACAGGAGGCAGCUGUGGGACGGAAAAACAAGCCCUGGGCUCAGAAUUGGAAGUGUGUCUUCACCAGGUUUCUGCCCCUAACCCACCGAGUGACCUUGGGCUUCUCCUGAAGGUGCAGAUCAUAGACCUGUGCUGAGAAGGCAGGUCUCAGUUUUCUCAGGCUUCCCAGCUGGAUCCAAGUUACAGCCUCUCUAUUAGGCCCUUGGAAUGCUAAGCGCAGACAUAGGGAGCAGGAAAGAAGAGCUGCUUUGGGGGAGGGAGGAAUCCAAUUUGGAUUUGGGGGAUGCUGCUGUAAUCGGUCGGAGAACUGAGGAUGCUGAGGCUGAAGCCUGGGGAGGGCUGCUGGUACUCCAGACGCCAGAGCUUUCCUGUCCCCGUUUUAUAAGAAGAAUACUAGGGAAGACAUCUCUCAUCAGUUGAGCAAAAAUGGAACCAUAUCUUACUAAACACAAAUAAGGCUGACUGAUAAUUUUGAUGGAACUAAGUUUGGCAGAUGACUGGAAAUGCAGCAGAUGUCACAUAAUUUAAGCAUCAGUGCACUAUUUGUUACGGCACCUCGAACAUUUACUGGAACAAGGGCUCAGCUGCCUUCGGUAACUGGGUAAGUGAGAUAUGUUUAACUGGGUUUGAUAUUAUGCAAACAGUCCUGAUUAAAAGAUUUGUUUUAAAAGAGGCUGCAGAAAAGGAAGGGUGGGCUGAUGGGACCUAAGUUUGGUUUACCUGUAAUUUGUAUGAAAAAUGGUGAAUACAACUCCCUGGGAUAGGGAGACUCUUCACUUGGAAGUUCAACCCUGUGCAAACCAUGCCAAGUAUUAUCCUCCCAGCCAGGCUCCUGCUGCUGGAGUUUCACUGUUGUGACUCUGAAAAUGCCUGGUAGGAGAGGCGUCUGCAGACAGGCAGCAGCACCGGGGGACUAAGGGAUUCUGUACCCAGCCAAGGAGGAUGUUCCCAGAAAACUGGCUGUGGCUCCAGAAGGCCUGCAUCCCUUGAAUUUUGGGUGGAUACAUGAAGGACUGCUCAGCCUUUCUGGGAAUGUCAGUUACCUGCAUAGAAGCUUCGCAAGUCCGUGUCCAGACAGUUCUCCAGGAAGCGCCUCAGAGAUCAUCCUUUUCCAAGGCAACUGCACUUCAAGUCCUGAAGCAGGAGUCGUGUUCCCCAGGUGGUUCAUCUAUUAUAGCUGCUGAGCCAGGCUCUGUGCUGGCAUUCUAUGUGUUUUGCCUCAUUUAUCCUCAUGCAAUCCUACAAGGAAGACCGGUCAUAAAAGAAGACGUCCUUGUCGGGUCCAGAGAAAUUUCUGCCAUACUCCAUGUUGAUGACGAAGAGCCCGUGUCUGGCCUGCCUUCCUGUGAUUGCCUCUAGCUGGGCCAGCAUCUGCAUGGGGAACUCCUCCAGGAAGUGACCGACAGUGUUCAGACUCUGAUCAGCCCCAUGGUAUUCAUGUUACAGCUGACUGCUGACUUACACCUGGGACAGAUUCCAGAAAGCUCAGAGUAACCUGCAGUGGAACUUCUGGUUCCAUCUGGGCUGAGAAGGGAAGCCACUGGGGUCUCUGGAGACUACCGAGCAGAGGUGAAUUUGAGUGACCCAUGUUUUAAAAGGAUCACCUGGCCACUGUGUUGUGAGACAACAGGACAAAGGUGAGAGGCUGGUGGCCCCAACCAAGGUGGCAGCUGUGGAGCUGGUGAGAAGCGGUCAGGUUCUAGAAAAAUUUGAAGGCUGAGGUUUACAGAUGCUCGAGUGUGUCAAAUGGGUGUGAGGAAGGGCGGAGUCGGGGAUGAUGGGAGGUGUUUGGGUUGAGCACUGAAUUCCCUGCCUGCUGGCCACGCUGCUGCAUCCCCCAGCUUUGGGUCAGGCUGCUCCCUGAGGGCUCUUCCUCUGCUUCUCACCUGCCACCUGCCCGUUGAGGGUCUCCCCUGCGGCCCUUUUCCCCUCCCUGCUGCAGUUGCCUCCUCUCUGAUCAGCUGCCUGUCAGACUGGACUCUUAAUGCCACACAGAGGUGCUCUCGCCCACACAGCUCCGUGCUCAUCUACUGGUGCUGAAUCCUUUCCGUACGUCACCUUUACUCCCUCUUACAGGCCUGCAAGGUAGGUGUUAUUAUCCCCAUCCUGCAGGUGACAGAGAGGCUCAGAGAUGCCAAUUAACUGGCCUAAGUGCACACAGGUAGAAAGCUGGGAUUCACAGUGAGGUUGGUCUUUCUGUCUGCAGCUUUUGUGGUGUGUGGCUUUCACCAAUUUCUUCCACCAGAGUAGAUCCCCCCGCCCCUGCAGGCUUCACUGUAAGGAGGAACUACUGGGCUCUUCCACACCUAAGACAGGAAUGGGAGAGCUAUGGCGGGACAGGGAGACUGGGGAGAGGGCAGAACUGGGUGUGGGUGGGC